AUACUUACCUUCUCGGGGUUGCCUGUGAUCAAUAAGACAGGAACCUGCCCAUCACCCUGCAUCGCACAGCGCAGCGGUUGGCUGGCAUGUAAUCUCUUCGGAGCUUACACCACGGGGCAAUUUUUGAUGGCUUUCCACUGAAGAAAA
rnacentral:snRNA from 16 species